rnacentral:rRNA from 1 species
UACGUAGGGGGCAAGCGUUGUCCGGAAUCAUUGGGCGUAAAGAGCGUGUAGGCGGCUCGGUAAGUCCGCUGUGAAAGUCCAGGGCUCAACCCUGGAAUGCCGGUGGAAACUGUCGAGCUAGAGUCCGGAAGAGGCGAGUGGAAUUCCUGGUGUAGCGGUGAAAUUCGUAGAUAUUCGCAAGAACACCAGUGGCGAAGGCGGCUCACUGGCCCGAUACUGACGCUGAGGCACGAAAGCGUGGGGAGCAAACAG